CCCUUCUACAAAGGCAUGUCUAUAGUUCCUUAUCUUUGGACAUGUAAAUAUUGGAGGCAAAGAAAUGUGGACUUGGAGAAAUUUGGGCCAGCUUGCUCUCUGCAGGCUCAAGAUCACCAACCCCCAUAG
rnacentral:snoRNA from 1 species